CAGACCAAGCUUCACUGGCUCUAGAGGGAAAUAUACUGCUGAUACACAGUAAAUAAGGCAUAUAAAGAAACUAACUGCAACAGAAAUGAACAAGAACAGAAAAGCAAGUGGUCUUAUCGUCAUUAUUAUCUCCCUUCUUCUGCUCUGCAUUGCAUCAGGUGAGAAGGACCAACUGAACCAGAUGUUUAGCAGAGGACUUCGACUUAUUGUGGAAGUUCCUCACGUCCGUGUUGACCACCUGGUGACUCCGAAGGUGCAUAUUCUUCUGCCUUCUGGCGUUCAGAAGCAGCGUGCAGAGAGAGUGACGCUGGCCUGUGUCAUCACCGGGUUACAGUCUAAAGCCGUGAGGAUCACAUGGAAGGUGAACGGAGCAACAGGUCUCAAGAAACACAGCAGCCCUGCACAAGUGCACCGAGAGCCUGGAGGCACCUUCUCUGCUGUGGGCCUGUACUCGCUGCUCGCUCAUAAAUGGAGUCAUGGGAAUACGUACAGGUGUGAGGUGACUUACAAAGCGGCGUUUUACUACGAUAAGGCAGAGUCGUCUCUGUGUGUUCCUCCUGAGGAACUGUAACUGUGUCCUGUGUUAGAGAUUCACGCCGGAGCCGGAGCACAUAGCUCACUUCAAAAUCAACAGAGGGAGAGAAAAAAAAGGACAAUAUAUUUUCAAAACAAUUUGGAGCGUGCUGUUAAAUUCUAAAUUCUGAAUUUUCGUAUUGUCACAUUGUUUUCAUAUUAUUUAUAAACAUGCAAUGAUUUAUAUAAAACUUGGCUUAUUAUUUGCUUUAAACGUUCUUAUAAUUAUUAUACAGUUUUGUUUCAUUUUCUUUGGUUAGCUCGCCCCCUUUUUCUUCUUUAUGUGAAGCAAACAAAACUUUCA